UUUCCGUAGGUGAACCAGCGGAAGGAUCAUUACCGUACAGAAUGUGAGGGACAUGCGAGGGCUGUCGCUGACACAAAAGUCGUGCACGCCCGAGGGUGUCCUCUUGCAUAAUAAUCCCUCCCACCCUCUGCGCAUCACCGCCUGAGCACCCUUCGGGAUCAUCUCGGUGGGGGGCUCGCGUUUUCACACAAACCCCCCUUUUAAAAGUGUAGAAUGGCCACAUUUAUGCAAUCAAUACAACCUGCAACAACGGAUCCCCUGGCUCACUCAUCGAUGAAG
rnacentral:misc_RNA from 1 species